CAAAAUCAAAUCGCCCCUGUCUCCUAUCUCUAUUCCCAUCUGAAUCCAAACUGAGUCCCUCUCGAUCUCCAACUGAAUCCCACCUAUACCGGCCUCGAUUGCUUGAUUCCGGAACCCUAGACUCUUGCCUAUAUAAGAAGGGGAAAGGGAGGAGGCCCGGAGGGGAUUUUGAGAGAAGAUUGAGGCGAAGCCCUGACGCGUUUACAUCUUGCCGUCUCUAGAGAAGUCUUGCCAGGGCCGCCGACCGCCAUGGCUGCCGCGCAUGGUGGACUUGUGUGUCAUCGCCGCCGGCUCAGCUCGUCCUCUUCCUACCGUUGAGUGGUAAAGACGAGGGGCCGACAGUUCAUGGUGACCCUUCCCCCGCUGCGCCGCCACCGCGAGAUGCUCUGGCGUGAGCGUGACGUGCUGCCGCCGCGACGUGCUCCGGCGUAUGCGCGUCGUUUCCGCCGUGAGGUGCUCCGGCAGGCACGCGUCGUCGCCGCCGUGAGGUCUCCAGUCACUAUCGCGCACACAUGCUAAUGUGUUCGCCGCCGGCAUGUUGUUCUAGGGCGCGCGUAUUGUUCUGAUGCGCGUGUGAUGCUGUUAAGAGGCCGUCGACGUGCUGUCUUGUUAUGCCGCCACCGGUGUGUAUGCUGCAACCACCGUGCUGUUUAGCUGUGCUCACUGCCGGUCUGCCGUGAUGCCGCUUGUUUUCUGCCGGCCAGUAAUGCUGAUGUACCUGAGGCCGGCCGUCAACACCGAGAUUCUACUACACUCUUGUUGCGCUGCUGAUGUCCUUCUUGUAGUGGCCAGUGAUGUAUUUGACGCCCGACCCUCGUCGAAGGUAUGCUGUCUUUGCAGUGCAGAUUGCAAUUCGCCGGCAGAUACAACUCGCCGUGCUCGCAUCUCCAGGCCGAUCGAUGAUGAAGGUUUGAGGCCAGUCUGUGAGGGUGAUGUUUCCCUGGUGCUGCCCUGUUCCUGGUCUGUGUGAUACCGCCGUGGUGAUGCCGCCGUGCUGGUGAUCCCUGGUGCUUGUUGCCGUAGUAGGCCAUGGCUAGCUGCUACUAUUGUUCCUGGUGGGUUCUGAUGCUUGAUGCCCCUUCUGUUGUCGGCCGAUCCUAGGCAGUUUGCUCUUGCUUCUGCUUUUGGUCAAUGUGAGGGUGAGCUAAUGGUUGUGCUUGCCCUAUGCCACCCACUACUUGUUUGAUGGUUUGCGAGGAUGAUGGCACUGCAUGGCCUGUGUUGCCUGCGGUUUGAUGCCGAUGAUGGUCACGCUGCUUGACCUUGAUUGCUGAUGACUUGCUAUGCAUGAUCAUGCCCUCCUAUUGCCUAGGGCUGGAUGGUUGCCUGUUGCCUCGGAUACGACCGAUGAGGUCGUAGUGGCUAGUGAGCUAAGCAUGAUAUCGGGCUCCCAGUUGUAGCCUAGCUGCUACGCCUGUUAAGCUACGCACCACACCAUGCUCCUAGUGUGCUACGGUCGCUUUUACUUUGUUGAGGUUGAUGAUAUGA